CAAGAGAGGGAAGGAGAAAUGUGCGACGAGGCCAGGACGCGUUGGAGAGGAGUGUCCUUUGAGCGGGGUUGUCUCACAUCCUCCCUGCUGCUGGGGAGAUGCUCAUCCAACGCAGCCUAGCUGGGAUGCAAGGAUGCUGCAGCUGGGGAAGCAGCCCAGGAUCAGAGGGGAAGCCAGGGGCAAUGCCAGACAGCUCUUGCGUGCAUCCCUCCAGCUGCUGCAGGGGAUGCCAGAGGGAUUUAUUCCAUCCAGGGGGCUUCAGAAAUGCAGUUUUUUUGAGCUUUGCCCUCCAAGGAUAUCCCUCCAGCAGCAGAGCCAGGAGGUCUCUUGGGUGCACAGUCCCAGGGGCAGCCAGGCUGGGGGGGCUCAGAGU